rnacentral:lncRNA from 1 species
GUCCCCUCGAUACGAAGCAGACGCAUGAUCACUGGGGCCCAGGCCGGGCAGGUCGGUGGGCAGUGGCUUGGGGUGCUCAGGCCAGACCCACCUGGGGUUGGCAAAGCCAUCUGUCCAGGCCUUCAGGCUGGGGCCCUGGGCACAGGGAGCAGACACACCUCUGCGUCACAGGGCAGAAGGGGCCACCACCUCCUUGACGCUCCUGAAUUCCUUCUCCUGCCAGCCACUGCCCUGGACUUGCCUCCCCAGGCCUCCUGCCUGUAAAUAGAAGUCCACAAACUGUGUACAGAUUUACAGAGAUGCUGAGGCUGGGCCCCAGAGUCGCCAUCAAAGGGCUCGUGGCCCCAGCAUCCCCCGGGUGCCCAGCAGGCAGCUCAGCGCGGG